rfam:Salmo salar isolate Sally breed double haploid chromosome ssa20, whole genome shotgun sequence.
UGCAAACAUGACUGUAAGUCGUUUUGGAUAAAAGUGUCUGCUAAAUCGCACACA